UACGGAGGGUGCAAGCGUUAUCCGGAUUCACUGGGUUUAAAGGGUGCGUAGGAGGGCAGGUAAGUCAGUGGUGAAAUCUCCAAGCUUAACUUGGAAACUGCCGUUGAUACUAUCUGUCUUGAAUACCGUGGAGGUGAGCGGAACAUGUCAUGUAGCGGUGAAAUGCUUAGAUAUGACAUAGAACACCAAUUGCGAAGGCAGCUCGCUACACGAAUAUUGACUCUGAGGCACGAAAGCGUGGGGAUCAAACAGG
rnacentral:rRNA from 1 species